CCUACGGGUGGCUGCAGUGGGGAAUAUUGCACAAUGGGCGCAAGCCUGAUGCAGCCACGCCGCGUGUGUGAAGAAGGCCUUCGGGUUGUAAAGCACUUUCAGCGGGGAGGAAGGCGGUGAGGUUAAUAACCUCAUCGAUUGACGUUACCCGCAGAAGAAGCACCGGCUAACUCCGUGCCAGCAGCCGCGGGAAUACGGAGGGUGCAAGCGUUAAUCGGAAUUACUGGGCGUAAAGCGCACGCAGGCGGUCUGUCAAGUCGGAUGUGAAAUCCCCGGGCUCAACCUGGGAACUGCAUUCGAAACUGGCAGGCUAGAGUCUUGUAGAGGGGGGUAGAAUUCCAGGUGUAGCGGUGAAAUGCGUAGAGAUCUGGAGGAAUACCGGUGGCGAAGGCGGCCCCCUGGACAAAGACUGACGCUCAGGUGCGAAAGCGUGGGGAGCAAACAGGAUUAGAUACCCGGGUAGUC
rnacentral:rRNA from 1 species